GGAGAAUCUUCGCACAACUUCAUUUGGAGAUCAGUUUUCUUACCUGAAGAAAAAUGUCAGUAAGAGUGAGAAGGACCAGACACCCUGUAACUAUGGAGACAUGCGAAUGCUCUGGUUAAAGCUGAGUGAGUUUCUUGGACGAUCUCCUCCUUCUAUCCUAGAGACCUAUUCGUUCCAUUUACUCAAAUAUUUUGAUGUGGAAGGCACUACAAAUGCUCCCCUAAGAGUCCAAGAAAAGAGGAAUAAAAAUGAACAGGACCCAGAAAAAAGACAGACCCUGGAAAGAAAAUAUUAUGAACGAUUGUUGAAGCACAGCGCAUCUUCACAGACCAGCAGAUGUGUACGCUGAAGAACUGUAUACUGACAUGGAAAUGGUUUUGAAAAUUUGAACCUGGAAAACGCAUCCAUAAAAACCUGAGCCAAAGCUGAGGCUGGUGUAGGACGAGCUGGAGCAGCAUGGAGCAUCUUCUCAGCUGAAGCUAACAGUCCAAAUGCUUCUGCUGAGGCUGUGGUUGAAAGUCUGGAAAAAGGAGCCAUGGCUUAAACUAAAUUACAACUAAAGUUUCUGGGUUCUGGAGUUACACUGGGCAGCACAAUGGGUCACUUUUGUUA